AGUUCCAUAGUCUAGUGGUUAUGAUGUCUCCUUUACACGGAGAAGGUCGCGCGUUCGAUCCGCGCUGGAACCA